AAUGGUCGUAAACAGAGGGAAGCGAAACCGCGAGGUAGAGCAAAUCCCCAAAAACGGUCUCAGUUCGGAUUGCAGGCUGCAACUCGCCUGUAUGAAGUCGGAAUUGCUAGUAAUCGCGGAUCAGCAUGCCGCGGUGAAUACGUUCCCGGGCCUUGUACACACCGCCCGUCACACCAUGAGAGCCGGGAACACCCGAAGUCCGUAGUCUAACCGCAAGGAGGACGCGGCCGAAGGUGGGUUUGGUAAUUGGGGUGAAGUCGUAACAAGGUACC
rnacentral:rRNA from 1 species